rnacentral:rRNA from 1 species
AUUGAACGCUGGCGGCAGGCAUAACACAUGCAAGUCGAGCGGAGCGGCGGACGGGUGAGUAAUGCCUAGGAAUCUGCCUGGUAGUGGGGGAUAACGUCCGGAAACGGGCGCUAAUACCGCAUACUAUCAGAUGAGCCUAGUUUGGAUUAGCUAGUUGGUGGGGUAAAGGCCUGCCAGGGCGACGAUCCGUACCUGGUCUGAGAGGAUGAUCAGUAACACUUGAACAGAGACACGUUCAAGACUCCUACGUGGGUCACCAGUGGGGAAUAUUGGACAAUGGGCGAAAGACUGAGCCAGCCAUGCCUCGUGUGUGAAGAAGGCCUUCGUAUUGUAAAGCACUUUAAGUUGGGAGGCGUUACCAACAGAAUAAGCACCGGCUAACUUCGUGCCAGAAGCCGCGGUAAUUA